GACGAACGCUGGCGGCGUGCUUAACACAUGCAAGUCGAACGGUGAAGCGCCUUCCUUUUUGGUGGGUGUGGAUGAGUGGCGAACGGGUGAGUAACACGUGAGUAACCUGCCCCCUUCUUCUGGAUAACCGCAUGAAAGUGUGGCUAAUACGGGAUAUUCUGGGUCUGUCGCAUGAUGGGUCUGGGACAGAUUUUGUUUCGGUGGGGGAUGGGCUCGCGGCCUAUCAGCUUGUUGGUGGGGUGAUGGCCUACCAAGGCGGUGACGGGUAGCCGGCCUGGGAGGGUGGACGGGAACACUACGGCUAAAACACGGCGCGGCCUCCUACAGGGGGCAGCAGUGACGAAUAGUGCACAAUGGGCGCGAGCCUGUUGCAGCGGCACCCCGUGGGAGAUGGUGGACUUAGCGUUGUGAACCUCUUUCGCCAGUGAAGCAGGCCUGCCUCGUUUGUGGGUGGGUUGACGGUAGCUGGUGAAGAAGCGCCGGCUAACUACGUG
rnacentral:rRNA from 1 species